AGAGCGAACGCUGGCGGCAUGCUUAACACAUGCAAGUCGCGCGGUUGGGGGGCAACCUCCGGCAGUGGCGGACGGGUGAGUAACGCGUAGGGAUCUAUCCAUGGGUGGGGGAUAACCCCGGGAAACCGGGGCUAAUACCGGAUACGACUUCGGAAGGCAUCUUCUGAAGUGGAAAAGGUUACUGGCUAGGGAUGGGCCCGCGGCCUAUCAGCUUGUUGGUGGGGUAAUGGCCCACCAAGGCGACGACGGGUAG
rnacentral:rRNA from 1 species